rnacentral:lncRNA from 1 species
AUGGUAGGGCCCAGGGGAACGCCUGUAAGAGAAACACAGAAAGAUCGAGCAGAGACGGCGUACCCUCCAGUGAGCCCGGGAACGCUGAGGGGCUCGCAGAGUACCUGUGAACAAGCUGCACCCCACAGUCCGGGUCCAGUGCUGUCUCAUCUCCAGGGCGGCUCGCUCGCUGCUCCCGUCUCUGGACCGUCGCCAUGGAUACCUUCCUGAGUCUAUUCCCAACCUCCCCUGAGAAACAGUGGAUCCCCCAGUAAGAACCAGUCCCUCUGGAGUUGCCAACAGGCAGAGGCAGAGAAGCUACCAGAACUCGCUCAUUCUGAAGGGUUUGCCAAGCACAUUCACGCACAGAGUACAGCAAUAGGUCAGUGAGAGAAGCCCGAGACCCCCCACCGGAUUUCUCAGACCUGAACAAUUGAUUUGCAUAUAUAUCCGAGGCCAUAUCCUUUCUUAUCCCCUCCUUUGAGUCCAUCUUCAUCUGCAACCUGGACCUUGUAGGGUCUUCUCCACCACGCUGUGUGCUCCUAGAGCUGAUUUCUCCUUGUCCAGCACAGGCGUGUAUAUCUCCGUUCUUGCAUUUUCAUGGCCUUAUAGCAUGGGGUGUGAUGUGGGGGCCUAAUGUCUAUCCCUGGUUUCCAUGGUUUGUAUCUUUGGUAGUAGAUUGCUCCAGUUGUUAUCUUCUAGUGAUCCAAAUUCUGCAAAGAACCAAACAUUUGCUUUCUGCUGCUUCUAAAGUUAGAAUGAAA